UCUAGAUAGAUUGCAAAUUCAGCUUGAGUGCCCUGUUUUUUCGGGUUGAAGAGCCCGGUCGAGGCAACCGUAUUGAAGAGAACAUUUGCAACAUAGAACCCUGGGGAAAUCUCAUCCUUCGUUGAGGUUUCAAUAUGAUGGAUCCACUGUAAUUUGCUGGUAAAAUGUGGCCUUGACAGAGAAGAUGGAGGGAACUCGUACUCUGACUAAAGUUGCAAUCUGUAAUCGGGAUGUUCAGUCAUCAAUCUUUUUUCUUUCCAUGGCUCUCUUUCCUCUUGGCUCUGUCUGAUUGUCCAUCUUGGUCCUUUGAUUCCAUCCAGAUUAGCUCCUACUCCUACUCCUCCUUUUCCUUUACUGUUGGCCCUUCUUCAUAUAGCAAUUUCUUGCUCUGUUAUUUAUCAUUUAUCUUGUGAAUGGUUGUAUACUCUAUGUUGUUUUUUUCUUUUACUGUAAGCACUAUCAACUAAAUGAGAGGUGAAGAUUGAGAUUUUCUUUUUGUAGAAAUUAAGGUUGUAGUCUGUUUAAUUUGAUUUAACUGUCCUUCUGCUUUUGGGUGUGGUUAGUCAAAUAUCUUUAUUCUUAGACAAAAGGAGAAAGAUUUUUUUUAUGUUGAUCAAUGAAAACACGGGAGUAUAAUCAUAUCACGUGUUAUUUUUGUUAAGGAACAACUAGAUUUAGCUUUGAGGAUGUUUGUUUUCGGCUUGUGAGUUAGAUUUGUCAAAAUUCCAUUACUAGGGACAAAAAUUAGCCCACCUAGACCAAUACUCAAGAAGUCCCCAGUUCAAUUUGUCUUCCUUGUUUUCAUACUUGUGUGGGGGAAAAUGGUUCAUUAAUCGAUUGAAAGAGAUCUGAUAAUUGAAAACAAAUGUUGUGACAGGUGAUGGAGUGGUGGUUUUUUCAAUGUCUGACGUGCCUUUGGGAUUUGGAAUUUCACAAAGGUCGACACAGGAUUGUAGGAAGUUGGAUCCAAAUGGGCUUGUCGUGCUUCAUCAGGCAGAUAUUGGGGAAUACUUGAGGAUGGAGGAUGAACUUUGAAUGUGGGUUUGCUUAUACAUUGGGCUGUUUUGCUACUGUUUGUCAGAUUUAUGUAAGAGUUUUGCAACGGCAUUGAAUGACAAUGAUCUUGAGAUAUAGAAGAGAUGAAUUAUGCAAUAAUUCAUUUUUUUCCCUUUCCAACCUCAUGGAGUGGCUAUUUCGUUGGUUUUGCACCAUGUUGAUUUCUGUGAUAUGCUUCAAAGAAACAUAUUGUUCCAAUCCUGUGGAGUGACUGUAAGGUUUCAGAGAUAUUAUUGUGAUAUGCUGAGAUGUGCAAGUCUGGUAGAUCUUUUUUAUCAUGUCGCUAUGCCAUGGAGUUAGCCAACUCCUUUUUUCAGCUUUUUAAGUUGAAUAUCACACUUUUAGGCUGUUCAAACUUUUCAGCUAUUGAUGGAGCUUUUGCUUGUGCAUGUUCAACAUGAUACUGUUAAGGUUUGUACUUUCAAAUAUAUUACUCCACAGUUCUUUAAAAGGAAAGUUUAGCAGUUUUAAGGUUGCACUGCAGUGCGGUUCAUGGUUGUUCUAAAAGUGGACAUAUGGAAACCUGACUCAGUGGAAUUCAUUGAGUAUGUUGUGCUUUACAAACCUAGUCAUCUGCUUCUUUUGUUGAUGUCUAAGAAAAGGGUGAUGUAGUCUGGUCAGACCAAGUGGUGCAGGAAAAAUUACAAUCAUACAGCUACUGGCUCGCUUUUACAAGCAGACUGAAGGUCACAUACUGUCGCCGGAGAGGAUGUACGAACUUUCAAUAAAAGUGAAUGGGCCCAGGCUGUUUCCAUUGUAAAUCAAGUAUUUUCUUCAAUUCAUCAUCUCAAAUUUAGGAUUUAAGCACCAUAUGAAUCAAUUGGGGGAUUACUUAGCUACCAUCUUCAAUCCAUAGUCUCCAUUGUAAUUUCAUUAUCAUCUGCAGUGACUGUCAUCUGACAUUUAGAAUCAGGAGUAAGAAAUUAAGCUGGUAACAAUUGACAUUUAGAGCAGCAUUUCUUCAUCAGGUGCCCCCUGGUGUUGUCAUACUUAAGUGAUACUGAAUUAUUUCAACUGGAUCUUCUCAGCGUUCUGUAAAUGUCAGUUUUGUCUUGGCAUGAUUAGAAGGGACAACUGAGAGACAUUUCUGGGUAUAUGUUCAUUGUCAGGUAGGACUCCUGUCUUUGCAUAUUAUUGCUACAUCUGAGUGGACUGUGAGUGUGUGUGUGUGUAAAACAGCUUAACUCUAGUAGGUUUUUGAAAUCUUGAAGUUCUUGUUGGAAAGAGAUCUGUCUCUUCUGGGGAUUGGUGCUGUAUUUUAUGUAUUUUUGCUUGUAUUAUGUGCUGUUCCAUUGAUUUUUAUGAUAUAUAGCCAUAUAUGCUAUACUUCUUCACUCUUUGCAGUACUUCUUGCACUUGAUUUAGAAUUAGCUCCUGAUUUUAUAUGGUUCGGUAACCUGUUCUUUUUCCUGUUGUCCGUUGGCAAAAGUAUUGCUUAUGUCCUUCUUGAUGAUAAUGUUUCCAAGGACGAUGUGAUAAAGGCAGCCAAAGUGGCGAAUGCUCACGGGUUUGUAAUUUCUCUUCCACGGGUCUGUCCUAGUUGUCUAAAUGCAUCCUCAUGUUUUGCUUUACUGGUCUACCAUUCCUAUAUUGUCUGCUAAAUGCUUUUUUCGUUGAAAUGGUUAUGACACGUCAGCUGGUGAGCAAGGAGGCCUUCUAAGUGGAGGCGAGAGGCUGGUGAAAUAGAAAAUUUGGUUGUGGAUUCGUGUAUCUGAAUACUCGUGUUGAUUGAUUAAUCGAUGCAUCAAAUAUUCAUUGAGAGAGAGAGAGAGACUCUUUUUUUACCUGCAGAGAAUUGCCAUCACCAGAGCCCUACUAAAGAAUGCGCUAAUACUAAUAUUGACGAGAUAGAUCUCUUUUGCUUCUCUUUGGCUCAUUGUUGGUGCAGGCAACAAGUGCCUUAAAUGCAGUUAGUGAGCGCCUUGUCCAGGAUGCUCUAGACCAUCUGAUAGGGGGUGGACAAUAUUGGUGAUUGCUCAUAGAUUCGGUACAGUUCAGAAUGCCCGCCAAAUUGCACUUUGUUCAUAUGGGAGGAUUGCAGAACUAGGGACUCACUUUGAGUCAUUGGCUAGGAAGGGUCAAUAUACUGGCCUUAAUUGGCACUCAGAGGCUGGCUUUUGAAUGACCCUGUAGUGGCUUAUAAUGAUGGAUGUCUUAUACUCAUCCUUUGAAAGGUGCGCCAGUCGCAAGAUGAUACCUUUUCUAGGCCAUUUGGCAACUAUCAAGUGUAAGCUUUGCAUGCAA